rnacentral:pre_miRNA from 1 species
CAACUACUCCCUCUGUCCUAAAUUUCUUGUCUUAGAUUUGUCUAGAUACGGAUGUAUAUAAUACUAAAAUGUGACUUGAUACAUCCGUAUCUAGAAAAAUCUAAGACAAGAAUUUUGGGACGGAGGGAGUACUUU